rnacentral:rRNA from 1 species
AUGGGGAUAGCUAUUAGAAUAGUAGAUAAUACCGAAUACGAGCACAGGGGUUAGAGAUCUGUGAGGAAAGGAGCUAAGGCUCCGCUGAAGGAAUGGCCUGCGGCCCAUUAGCUAGUUGGUGAGGUAAGAGCCCACCAAGGCGAUGAUGGGUAUCCGGCCUUAGAGGGUGAACGGACACAUUGGGACUGAGAUACGGCCCAGACUCCUACGGGAGGCAGCAGCUAAGAAUAUUCCGCAAUGGACGAAAGUCUGACGGAGCGACGCCGCCGUGGAUGAAGAAGGCCGGAAGGUUGUAAAAUCCUUUUGAAACUGAAGAAUAAGCGUUGUAGGGAAUGGCAGCGUGGUGACAGUAGGUUUUGAAUAAGCAACGGCUAAUUACGUGCCAGCCGCGGC